rnacentral:rRNA from 1 species
UACGAAGGGGGCUAGCGUUGCUCGGAAUCACUGGGCGUAAAGGGUGCGUAGGCGGGUCUUUUAAGUCAGGGGUGAAAUCCUGGAGCUCAACUCCAGAACUGCCUUUGAUACUGAAGAUCUUGAGUUCGGGAGAGGUGAGUGGAACUGCGAGUGUAGAGGUGAAAAUUCGUAGAUAUUCGCAAGAACACCAGUGGCGAAGGCGGCUCACUGGACCGGAACUGACGCUGAGGCGCGAAAGCGUGGGGAGCAAACGGG